AAAAUACAUAAAAAUUCAAGAGUACAUAUCAGUACAGUCGAGGCCCACCUCAGAGCAUCAAAAAACAAGGUUGAAAAAAAUAUUGCCUUGAAACUAUGAAAUCAAAUGGUAUUGCUUCCUUACAAUCGCAUUGGCAACAACAGAAAUUAAUUCAAGCUGAUUCUAUGUAAUACAAUAGAAGGGGCAAGGGAAGUAUAGUGGGAAUCUACAAUACAUCAGCGAUUUAAAAUAUUAUCCUUGAAAAUGCAAUUCUUAAUGUUACAGUUUAAUCUAUCGAUUCAAAAUAACUUUAAACAUAUAUUAUGGAUAUUGUUAUUAAUAUACCUUAAUUUAAUGACACAUCAAUAUAUAUAUGGACGUUCCAAAGUUUUAGC